rnacentral:rRNA from 1 species
GUGGGGAAUAUUGCACAAUGGGGGAAACCCUGAUGCAGCAACGCCGCGUGAGUGAAGAAGCUCUUCGGAGCGUAAAACUCUGUCCUAAGGGAAGAAGCCUGACGGUACCUUAGGAGGAAGCCCCGGCUAACUACGUGCCAGCAGCCGCGGUAAUACGUAGGGGGCGAGCGUUAUCCGGAAUUACUGGGCGUAAAGCGUGCGUAGGCGGUCAUGCAAGCUUGGGGUUUAAAGCUGCGGCUUAACCGCAGUGCGCCCUUAGAACUGUAUGGCUUGAGUGCAGGAGAGGAGAGUGGAAUUCCUAGUGUAGCGGUGAAAUGCGUAGAGAUUAGGAGGAACACCAGUGGCGAAGGCGACUCUCUGGACUGUAACUGACGCUGAGGCACGAAAGCGUGGGGAGCAAACAGGAUUAGAAACCCUAGUAGUCC